rnacentral:rRNA from 1 species
UACGUAGGGUGCAAGCGUUAAUCGGAAUUACUGGGCGUAAAGCGUGCGCAGGCGGUUGUGCAAGACCGAUGUGAAAUCCCCGGGCUCAACCUGGGAAUGGCAUUGGUGACUGCACGGCUAGAGUGUGUCAGAGGGGGGUAGAAUUCCACGUGUAGCAGUGAAAUGCGUAGAGAUGUGGAGGAAUACCGAUGGCGAAGGCAGCCCCCUGGGAUAACACUGGCGCUCAUGCACGAAAGCGUGGGGAGCAAACAGG